rnacentral:rRNA from 1 species
UACGGAGGGUGCGAGCGUUUAUCCGGAAUCAUUGGGCGUAAAGCGCGCGUAGGUGGCUCCAUAAGUCCGUUGUGAAAGUCAAAGGCUCAACCUUUGAAAGCCGAUGGAUACUGUGGAGCUAGAGUACGGAAGAGGCGAGUGGAAUUCCUGGUGUAGCGGUGGAAUGCGUAGAGAUCCGGAAGAACACCAGUGGCGAAGGCGGCCCGCUGGGCAGUGGCUGAUGCUGAGGCACGAAAGCGUGGGGAGCAAACAGGG